AAAGUCGUAACAAGGUUUCCGUAGGUGAACCUGCGGAAGGAUCAUUAUUAUUUGGGUCGGGUUUACUACUUAUAACUGUUGCUCUUGUGUCUCAAAUGUUUAGUAGUAAACUUUUACCAAAUAAUCCUAUUUCCAAAUAGGAGCAAGAUACCUUUAUAUUUAAAACCCAUCCUUGAACGUAUAAAAUUUAUGUAUUAUUGAUAAAAUAAAAGAUCACUUUCAACAACAGAUCUCUUGGUUCUC
rnacentral:misc_RNA from 1 species